rnacentral:rRNA from 1 species
UACGUAGGGCGCAAGCGUUAUCCGGAAUUAUUGGGCGUAAAGAGCUCGUAGGCGGUUUGUCGCGUCUGCCGUGAAAUCCCGAGGCUCAACCUCGGGUCUGCAGUCGAUACGAGCAAACUAGAGUGUUGCAGGGGAGACUGGAAUUCCUGGUGUGGCGGUGAAAUGCGCAGAUAUCAGGAGGAACACCGGUGGCGAAGGCGGGUCUCUGGGUAGU